AAAUCUUUCUAGGUUGCUAGAACAAAAAAUUUCUAGAACUAGAAACUCUAAUGAACCAAGAAUACCCAUGUUUAAAGUAUAGAUGCUGUCCAAUUAAUAAGUAUAGUACAUAUAAAAUACAAGCUGGUUUAUUUAUUGAGCCACCAAUAAAAUCCAUGUACAGGAGGAUACAUCCA